UUGGACAUAGUGACCAUUUGCCAUUGGACAUAGUGACCAUUUGCCAUUAGACAUAGUGACCAUUCGCCAUUAGAUUCACUGGCCAAAAAAGCAAAAGUGUCGGACAAAAAGCAAAAUAAUCGGACAAAAAGCAAAAUAAUCGGACAAAAAGCAAAAGUGUCGGACAAAAAACAAAAUAAUCGGACAAAAAGCAAAACGGACAAAAAGCAAAAGUGUCGG
rnacentral:lncRNA from 1 species